UUUCAUUGAUGUCAAAAUAGAAGACGAGACCGAUAUAUCCAUUCUUAACCUUGAUGCUAACUGAGCCAUUUUUCUGAGAGGA